UAAAUAUUCAAAUUUGAAUGAGAACGAUACAGCGAAGAUUAGCAUGGCCCCUGGGCAAGGAUGACAUGCAAAUUCAUGAAGAGUGCCAUAUUUUA
ensembl:snRNA U6 U6 spliceosomal RNA